AAUUUCCGGCGGGAAAUCCUGUUAGUCGAGCGGAAACGAGUUAUCUGAACCUUCGGGGGACGAUAACGGCGUCGACCGGCGGACGGGUGAGUAAUGCCUAGGAAAUUGCCCUGAUGUGGGGGAUAACCAUUGGAAACGAUGGCUAAUACCGCAUGAUGCCUACGGGCCAAAGAGGGGGACCUUCGGGCCUCUCGCGUCAGGAUAUGCCUAGGUGGGAUUAGCUAGUUGGUGAGGUAAGGGCUCACCAAGGCGACGAUCCCUAGCUGGUCUGAGAGGAUGAUCAGCCACACUGGAACUGAGACACGGUCCAGACUCCUACGGGAGGCAGCAGUGGGGAAUAUUGCACAAUGGGCGCAAGCCUGAUGCAGCCAUGCCGCGUGUGUGAAGAAGGCCUUCGGGUUGUAAAGCACUUUCAGUCGUGAGGAAGGUGGUGUAGUUAAUAGCUGCAUUAUUUGACGUUAGCGACAGAAGAAGCACCGGCUAACUCCGUGCCAGCAGCCGCGGUAAUACGGAGGGUGCGAGCGUUAAUCGGAAUUACUGGGCGUAAAGCGCAUGCAGGUGGUUUGUUAAGUCAGAUGUGAAAGCCCGGGGCUCAACCUCGGAAUAGCAUUUGAAACUGGCAGACUAGAGUACUGUAGAGGGGGGUAGAAUUUCAGGUGUAGCGGUGAAAUGCGUAGAGAUCUGAAGGAAUACCGGUGGCGAAGGCGGCCCCCUGGACAGAUACUGACACUCAGAUGCGAAAGCGUGGGGAGCAAACAGGAUUAGAUACCCUGGUAGUCCACGCCGUAAACGAUGUCUACUUGGAGGUUGUGGCCUUGAGCCGUGGCUUUCGGAGCUAACGCGUUAAGUAGACCGCCUGGGGAGUACGGUCGCAAGAUUAAAACUCAAAUGAAUUGACGGGGGCCCGCACAAGCGGUGGAGCAUGUGGUUUAAUUCGAUGCAACGCGAAGAACCUUACCUACUCUUGACAUCCAGAGAACUUUCCAGAGAUGGAUUGGUGCCUUCGGGAACUCUGAGACAGGUGCUGCAUGGCUGUCGUCAGCUCGUGUUGUGAAAUGUUGGGUUAAGUCCCGCAACGAGCGCAACCCUUAUCCUUGUUUGCCAGCGAGUAAUGUCGGGAACUCCAGGGAGACUGCCGGUGAUAAACCGGAGGAAGGUGGGGACGACGUCAAGUCAUCAUGGCCCUUACGAGUAGGGCUACACACGUGCUACAAUGGCGCAUACAGAGGGCGGCCAACUUGCGAAAGUGAGCGAAUCCCAAAAAGUGCGUCGUAGUCCGGAUUGGAGUCUGCAACUCGACUCCAUGAAGUCGGAAUCGCUAGUAAUCGUGGAUCAGAAGGCCACGGCGAAGCCGUUCUCCGGCCCGUCGCACACCGCCCAUGGGAUCAGUGGGCCCGGGAGACGAUGUGAAGUCCGCUUUCACCACAAUUAGGAAGAGAAAUACACCCCCGAA
rnacentral:rRNA from 1 species